rnacentral:tRNA from 1 species
GCCGAAGUGGUGGAAUUGGCAGACGCGCUGGACUCAAAAUCCAGUGGUAGCAAUACCGUGUGGGUUCGACUCCCACCUUCGGCACCA